rnacentral:rRNA from 1 species
CUACGGGCUGCAGCAGUGGGGAAUAUUGGGCAAUGGGCGAAAGCCUGACCCAGCAACGCCGCGUGAUUGAAGAAGGUCUUCGGAUUGUAAAAAUCUGUCCUUGGGGACGAAAAAAAUGACGGUACCCAAGGAGGAAACCCCGGCUAACUACGUGCCAGCAGCCGCGGUAAUACGUAGGGGGCGAGCGUUGUCCGGAAUUACUGGGCGUAAAGGGUGCGCAGGCGGCGCUUUAAGUCAGAUGUGAAAUACCCAGGCUUAACCUGGGGGGUGCAUUUGAAACUGGAGUGCUUGAGUGCAGGAGAGGAAAGUGGAAUUCCUAGUGUAGCGGUGAAAUGCGUAGAUAUUAGGAGGAACACCAGUGGCGAAGGCGACUUUCUGGACUGUAACUGACGCUGAGGCACGAAAGCGUGGGGAGCAACCAGGAUUAGAUACCCUGGUAGUC